rnacentral:rRNA from 1 species
UACGUAGGGUGCAAGCGUUACUCGGAAUUACUGGGCGUAAAGCGUGCGUAGGUGGUUUGUUAAGUCUGAUGUGAAAGCCCUGGGCUCAACCUGGGAAUUGCAUUGGAUACUGGCAGGCUAGAGUGCGGUAGAGGAUGGCGGAAUUCCCGGUGUAGCAGUGAAAUGCGUAGAGAUCGGGAGGAACAUCUGUGGCGAAGGCGGCCAUCUGGACCAGCACUGACACUGAGGCACGAAAGCGUGGGGAGCAAACAGG